UACGUAGGGUGCUAGCGUUAUCCGGAAUCACUGGGCGUAAAGCGUGCGUAGGCGGCUUGUUAAGUGAGAUGUGAAAACCGUGUGGCUCAACCAUAUCGUUCAUUUUCAUACUUGGCAGGCUAGAGGACGGCAGAGGCAAGUGGAAUUGGUAGUGUAGCAGUGAAAAUGCGUAGAUAUUUACCAGGAACACCAAUGGCGAAGGCAGCUUGCUGGGCCGACCCCUGACGCUGAGGUACGAAAAGCGUGGGGGAGCGAACAGG
rnacentral:rRNA from 1 species